UGAACGCUGGCGGCGUGCCUAAUACAUGCAAGUCGAGCGAACAGACGAGGAGCUUGCUCCUCUGACGUUAGCGGCGGACGGGUGAGUAACACGUGGAUAACCUACCUAUAAGACUGGGAUAACUUCGGGAAAUCGGAGCUAAUACCGGAUAAUAUAUUGAACCGCAUGGUUCAAUAGUGAAAGACGGUUUUGCUGUCACUUAUAGAUGGAUCCGCGCCGCAUUAGCUAGUUGGUAAGGUAACGGCUUACCAAGGCAACGAUGCGUAGCCGACCUGAGAGGGUGAUCGGCCACACUGGAACUGAGACACGGUCCAGACUCCUACGGGAGGCAGCAGUAGGGAAUCUUCCGCAAUGGGCGAAAGCCUGACGGAGCAACGCCGCGUGAGUGAUGAAGGUCUUCGGAUCGUAAAACUCUGUUAUUAGGGAAGAACAAAUGUGUAAGUAACUAUGCACGUCUUGACGGUACCUAAUCAGAAAGCCACGGCUAACUACGUG
rnacentral:rRNA from 1 species